AAAUUCCCAGAACCAGCCCCACCAGGCUAGCCGUACUGCUGUGAGCUGUCAGAGGAGGAGAGUUCCGUUUGUUCCCUUUAUGUUGUCCAAUGAAACGGGUUGUACUCUCUGGUUCACCACAGUCACCACCACUCCAAGGUCAGGCAGAAGAAAAGGUACUAAAGAUGACCACUACAUAUAGGCUUCAGAGUGGAGAAAAGUGGAUUCAGGAGAAAAAAUGCCUCUCUUCUUCCACAACAAAGAGAAAAAUCGCCACGAGAAAACUCAUGAGUUGAGCAUCAAUCAGCUGGUUGUGAAGGGGGAUGGGUGGAUGAAGCUGUCCAAUGUGUCGGUGGAUCGUGUGGGGGUGUACUUCAGACACGCUGAACCUGAUGUCUCACAGGCCAAAGGAUUA